rnacentral:rRNA from 1 species
UACGUAGGUGGCAAGCGUUGUCCGGAAUUAUUGGGCGUAAAGCGCGCGCAGGCGGUUUCUUAAGUCUGAUGUGAAAGCCCACGGCUUAACCGUGGAAGGUCAUUGGAAACUGGGAGACUUGAGUGCAGAAGAGAAGAGCGGAAUUCCACGUGUAGCGGUGAAAUGCGUAGAGAUGUGGAGGAACACCAGUGGCGAAGGCGACUUUCUGGUCUGUAACUGACGCUGAGGCGCGAAAGCGUGGGGAGCAAACAGG